AUAUUCUGGAUUUGCCAUCCUGCCAAGAGGCUAAAUGGCCACCAUGUCCAUGUAUUUACUUAAAAGACCUUUUUAUCUCACCUUAUAUAUAUAUAUAUAUAUAUAUUGGGUUCACCAUAGGCCAAACGGCCACCACGUCUAUGCCAUGCAUAUAUAUAUAUAUAUUUUUUUUUUGGGAUCAUAACCAUUAACCUAGUCUUCUUUUCCAUGUACUUCUCCUUCAUAGCGGGCCAUGCAAUUUAUAUAUAUAUAUUUUAUACUUCCCAGAUGACAACAAAUAUGCAAAUGGAAAGUGCACAAGUAUAUAUAUGUGCAUGCAUGUUAGAGGUCCAUAUCAUGAUUCUCAUCAUUUUUUUUUAUUUAUUAUUUAUUUUUUUAUUUAUUUAUUUCUUCUCAUAUAUAUAUAAAUAUAUAUAUAUGAGGCUUUUAUCACGCGCGUAUGCAUGCAUGAUCUUAAAAUAAAAAUCUCUUGACGUAACAACAUCUCCUAUAUACACCAUCAUUAAUUCAUCAAGAAGGUCUUCUGUAUUUCAUUAUUCUCCAUAGCUACAGUGAGAAUCAGAAUCUCCCUCUUGAGUACCUUGAGAAUUCCCAUCUUCAAGAAGCCUCAUUGAGUUCUUAUCAUAAGAUUCCUUGGCAAGAGAAGCAUCAUGAACGUCUGGAUUGAAUUAUUCUCCAAAGUAUCUCUAAUGUCUUUGUACUAGGCGUUCAUGCGAAGAUGAUGACAUUGUCCGCCUUUGCCUCUGCCAUCAUUCAGAGCCCUCCCUUCUUCCAAUGAGAGAUAUGAUCAACAUAAGCUAGUAAUCCUCAUUGAUGAACUUGACAUAUUUACUCAGGAACUUGUAUUCAUGGUCUCUGUUUGCAUCCACUUCAACACCUGAUGAAGCUGAGGUUUCUAUUGGAGGCUUGCCAACAAAGUCACCAACCUGUGGAGCCAGAUCUUUGUAUGAGCAUUUUGAUGUCCAACGAUCACCUUUCUUGUCAUAUAUCCGACAUACCAUAAGGACAGCAACUAAUGGAUCACCGACAACCUUUACUUCUUCCGCUUGGCUACCUGGAGCUCUAGGUCAUUCAAGGGAGAUCUUCUCUAUAGAAACCAUGGUGAGGUGGCUUCCAAUCAUCUUCAUGGGUGGCAUACACGAACUUGCUCCAAGACCUACUCGCCAUCGCAUGUUUGCUGAGACAGGCACAUGGUCUUCGAUAAUCUUCAGUGGGAACAAGAAGUAGAGAUUGUCGCCAUCGUCCUUGUCAAGCCUCCCUUAUCGAGGCUUGCUCGAUAUUGCUCGCAAGAGAUCCACAACGAAACUGAAACCCUAGCUUUUGCUCUUCGGCGAUCCUCUGUCUUCAACACCUCUUAGGGCUUCUAAGGUUCCUCCAUCUUUAUGAACUCCUCAGCAUGAAUGGAAGCAAAUAGCAGUCAUCAACAACAGCAAGCAGCAACAAUGAUAAUGACGGCAACAUUUUCAGGCUCCCUCGUCUUCCACGGGCUCCUCGUCAAGGGCGCAACAGCCAGCAAAGGGGAACAACAUUAGUAGUGACUAAGUCGGCGAUGGCGUCAGGCAGCAGCAGCAACAAUGACGGCAUCGACUUUCUUUUCUCUUUGUAUAUAUAUAUAUAUAUAUAUGUGUGUGUGUGUAUGAAUAUAAGUUUGGAGAGAAAACAGAAUAGAGACCUACCUCUUCUCCAUCGUCUCUCUCCUUCGCUUUUCACCUUCGAUCUUCCUCUUCGUCCUCAAACUCUCUCCGGUCAUCGUUCUUCUAUCGUCAUUCUCUCUUUUGCUCUUCCUUCCUCCUCCCCGUCUUUCGUUCUCACGUCCCUUUUUAAAGAUCUUCAACGUGGCAGUUGCACAGUUAUUCUGAUCGUGAAGAAUUGCGAAGAGACAUGGGCGGU